rnacentral:misc_RNA from 1 species
AUAUAUUUGGUUAAUAAAAGGUUCAAUUGAGGGUAACCCUCCCCAACCACUAAACCCCAUAGCUUGUCAAGGAAAGAUUUGAUCAUAGUGCCUUUUUAGUAGAACUGAAUGGAGUUUAAUGAAAUAAAAUACCAGAUAUAUGAGGACAAACAGGAACAUAUUGACUGAGAAUACUGGAUAAACUAUACUGAGUACUGACAUACUUAUAAUUUCCAUGAAUACACAAACAAACAGUUCAAAAAUAAAAUUUGAAGAAUUUGAAUAUCCUUAUUAAAGAUUGUCAAUUGAAAUACAUUUUCCAAAUAUUUCAUAGGAACAAACAGCAUGAAUUUAUUUCUGUUUUAAUUAUCUAUAUCCUAAUCUACAAUUAACCAA